GAAGGUAUAGCUCAGUGGUAGACUGCAUGCUUAGCAUGCAUGAGGUCCUGGGUUUAUUCCCCAGUACGUCCA
rnacentral:tRNA from 1 species